rnacentral:rRNA from 1 species
CUGAUGCAGCCAUGCCGCGUGUAUGAAGAAGGCCUUCGGGUUGUAAAGUACUUUCAGUUGUGAGGAAGGGGGUGUAGUUAAUAGCUGCAUMUCUUGACGUUAGCAACAGAAGAAGCACCGGCUAACUCCGUGCCAGCAGCCGCGGUAAU